rnacentral:lncRNA from 1 species
UUAUGUUUAUAAAGUUAAUUGUAUAUAUUGCUAUGCAAUUGCUGUACAAUUUAAGUGGCAUAACACACUUAAUAUACAUAAGGAAUACUUAUACAUUAGUUUAAUUCACUCAAGUACCCAAAAUGCCUCCAUACUUGAGAUAACUCCUCUGGUCCACCCAAUAAUGUUGACUGAUGUAAAGAGAGCAACGCACAAUUAAGGCUAUCUACAACUGCACUAACUUGGAAAAAUUGCCAAGAAAUGAGCUGGCGACUCAAUAAGUAUACUAAGUAGAAACUAUCAAGUCUUUAUCAAAUAUAGAAAAUUAUACAAAUACUUUACUGACAAUCACAAAAUCAACCAUUUCAAUUAUUCUCAUAAACAAAUAAUUUCAUCUCACAGAAUCACAAAUAAUCUCAAACUCAAUCAAGUCAAAUAAUUCAAUUCCAUAAUUAUUUCCAUCAAAUUAGGAUCAGAUGACUCAUUCUCACAUUUUCUUAUAUUUUUUACAUUUCAGUGGCCACUUGACAAGACUAUUUGUCCGGCUCAGUCUUGCCAUCUCACAUACUCGAGUAGUUAUCCGCCCGGCUCAGUUUCUCGAUCACACAAUAUCAAUUUAAGAGUCAUCAAUCCUUAAUCGCAAUCAAUUCACUUCACAACACACCACAAUCAAUUCACAAUUCACAAAUUUCAUGAAAUUCAAUCUCACCAAUAUCAACUUGUUCAUCAACUCACAACGAGCCAGGAACAUAACCAAUACCAACUCAGUCAACCAAGACAUUAUCAAGUAAUCAAACAUAGCAAUUCCUACUCAAUAAACACAAAGUUUAGUCUAUUAAAUACUUACCAAAAUUUAUAGGAUAACAAAGUAAUCCUAUUUCUUUUCUCUUACCACUUCCUUGCUUUUGGACGAACCUAUUCAUAUAUUCAAUAUAAAUAUAAUUCAAUCACAAUGCAUAAAUAUAUAUAUCUUUAAUAUCCAUAAAAUAUCACAUUUCAACAAAAUAACAUCUACUCUUGAUUUUAAUAUGAUGCAUGAGAUGAGUGACAAUAAAUCAACAUAUUUGUUGAUGUAGACAACUUGUAGGUAUUGACUUAGAAAUUACACUAAAAAUUAUGUACAAUUAAUAAAAAUUCCAUCCUUUUCAUAAUUAAACUUCCAUUUAUAAAUUAGGAGUAGAGAAGUUGUGAAGGAGAGAAACUGGCUACGGGAGGAUGAAGAAGUGAAACCUAAUUCUUAUAAAUAUUAUCUAAUAUUUUAUUAUUAUUUUAAAGAAAAAUUGAUAAUUUAAUCCUUAUUCUUUC